UACGUAGGGUGCAAGCGUUGUCCGGAAUUAUUGGGCGUAAAGAGCUCGUAGGCGGCCUGUUGCGUCCGCUGUGAAAUCCCGGGGCUUAACCCCGGGCGUGCAGUGGAUACGGGCAGGCUGGAGGCAGGCAGGGGAGAACGGAAUUCCCGGUGUAGCGGUGAAAUGCGCAGAUAUCGGGAGGAACACCGGUGGCGAAGGCGGGUCUCUGGGCCGACACUGACGCUGAGGAGCGAAAGCGUGGGGAGCGAACAGG
rnacentral:rRNA from 1 species